AAUCCCACCGCCCCUGACAUUUCUCCCCGUCGUUCCCCAUUCUUCCUUGGUCGCCAGCUCCCUCUCCCCACCGCCAACCAGAGGUUCGCAACCCCUACUUUUCCCCGCCUUUUCGACGAAUCCUGUCGCCCAAGUGGCCGAGGAGGUCCCUGAGCCUGGCAUGCUCGCGAGCAUCCCAGCGUUAGGCUCUGUCGUAGGCACGACACUUCCACGCCCGUCCUCUUCUCCGUCCUUCGAAUCCGUUGGCCCAAGUGCCCAAGGAUGGGCUCGAGCUCGGCAUGCUCACGGGCGACCCAGCGCGGAGGCCCGCAACAAGACAACAAGGAGCGGGGCGUGGGUGCGCAAAAACAUCUGGGCACAGUUCGAUGCCUCCACUGAUGUGCCUCUGUUUGAUGUUCUAUUCAAGAUCCCUGUACAAUUGUGUUAUUCAAGAUACAAUGGCACUCGAUGAUGCUUGCUAACAAGGUUUGCAAUGCAAUAUGCACUGGACUGUUGCUUGCCAGAUGACUGGAAGACGGAUAAAUUUGCUUGCAAGGCUCUUGAUGAUAUAUCCAUUUUCAUCAAAUUCUUAAGGGUAUGGUCAAUUGGAGAAGACAUUACUAUGACUACACAGAUCUGUUUUUCAGCGUAGGAUGCAUAUCAAUUAUCACUAUCAUGGUAUAUUAUUGCCAUUGAGGAAUCUUCCCAUGUAGCAAAUUUACCUCGAAAGUACAAAACUUUAGCAGAUCACCAUCAG